AUUGUACAUGCUGCAGUAACAUAUUUUCUGUUUUAGUUGCAAUGUAAUUUAGUUUGGUUGAAAAUGAACUUAGUUGUUGAUGUUUUGAUGGGUUUAGGUGAUGAUUGAGCUGAUAAGUCAACUUAACCCAUGUGUACAAGCAAUGUUUUAAUAUCCCCAAUGCUGAUUAGUGGGGUUAGUUGAAUAUUUGGUGAUGUAUUUUGACUAUAAAUGUUUUGUUUUCAUAUUGAAGGAGUAAGCAGAUCAGUUUUGAGUAAGUUGAAUGCUUCCUUGCUGCACGUUUGUGAGCAAGUAAAUUGUUCUUUGUUUCUUCCUGCUUUGUUCAAUAUCUUGUUCUCUUCUUUUGUUGCUGUCAAAACCCCAACAACUUGGCAUGCCAAGUUCUCCCAGUGGAAUUGCAUAAGGCCAGAUUACACCUGUGCAUUGUCAAAUUUUUCCUAGUAAAGGUCGAUGGUAUAAACUGGAAUUCAAGAAGAGAAUAGAAACCAAAGAACAGACUGCGCCAUUCAAGUCGAGCCAUGCAAGUUGCAGCUGAAGAAAAUGCUGUUGUUUUGUUGAUUAUUUGAUGUUUUGUUACUUAGUUACAUUUGAACUAAGUUUGUAAUGUAUUUGUUGUAAUUUGGUGCUGAUGGAUAUGAUAAAUCAGCUUAAUCAAGUGUGCAAGCAAAGUUUUAUAAGUUUCAUGACUUUGAUAGUAGAGUUAGGUGUGUUUAGGUAACUUUUUUUUUUUAAUUUCAGUCAAGCUGAUUACUUGAUAUAUGUAAUGAGAUGUUUUAGCAAUAUUAUUAUGAACCAUUCAUCAAAA